GCGGGGACCCACCGGGGGGCGCCCCGAGAACCUGGGUCCGGACGCAAGGAGCGCCCUCGGAGGGGGCCCGCCGCCUGGGUUUGCUGUGAGUGGCGUAUGGACGACAGAGCCGAGGAAAAGGGAAAAUCGAUCCGGAGAAGUGGUGUUGACAACCACAGCAGCCGGGAAGAUCAGCCACCCUGGCCACGUGUGGACGGACCCUCGCCAGGAUCAUGGGUUUUCCCUUCCGGGAUCGGAACGCGGGAGCUAGACGCGCUGCGUGUGAGCAGCACAGAAAACCACGGUUGCCGCCCCAUGAAGCCUUCAGUCUAGAGAGGGAUCCGCCCAGAAGUUACCCAAGGAACAGACAAUUACAAGUUAUAAUUCUCUGAAGGAAACAUAUGGAGUGUUAUUGGUGAAUGUGAAAAGGGCAAC
rnacentral:lncRNA from 10 species